UACGUAGGGUGCAAGCGUUGUCCGGAAUUAUUGGGCGUAAAGAGCUCGUAGGCGGUCUGUCGCGUCUGCUGUGAAAAUCCAGGGCUCAACCCUGGACCUGCAGUGGGUACGGGCAGACUAGAGUGCGGUAGGGGAGAUCGGAAUUCCUGGUGUAGCGGUGAAAUGCGCAGAUAUCAGGAGGAACACCAAUGGCGAAGGCAGCACUCUGGGACGUGACUGACGCUGAGACGCGAAAGCGUGGGGAGCAAACAGG
rnacentral:rRNA from 1 species